rnacentral:rRNA from 1 species
CUGGCUCAGGAUGAACGCUAGCGACAGGCUUAACACAUGCAAGUCGAGGGGCAGCACGGGAGUAGCAAUACUUGGUGGCGACCGGCGCACGGGUGAGUAACGCGUAUGCAACCUACCUAUCAGAGGGGAAUAACCCGGCGAAAGUCGGACUAAUACCGCAUAAAACAGGGGCACCGCAUGGUGAUAUUUGUUAAAGAAAUUCGCUGAUAGAUGGGCAUGCGUUCCAUUAGGUAGUUGGUGAGGUAACGGCUCACCAAGCCGACGAUGGAUAGGGGAACUGAGAGGUUGGUCCCCCACACUGGUACUGAGACACGGACCAGACUCCUACGGGAGGCAGCAGUGAGGAAUAUUGGUCAAUGGGCGGGAGCCUGAACCAGCCAAGUCGCCGUGAAGGAAGAAGGAUCUAUGGUUCGUAAACUUCUUUUGCAGGGGAAUAAAGUGCAGGACGUGUCCUGUUUUGUAUGUACCCUGAGAAUAAGGAUCGGCUAACUCCGUGCCAGCCGCGGC